rnacentral:lncRNA from 1 species
GGUGAGUAAAGAAAGAAAUGGGAGGGGGCUUUAAAAUGACAGGAUAUAGCAUUAAGCAUGGUUGAACCAGACUUAAACGUUGGCCCUGCCAGCCUUCCUGAAAAUGGAACAUUAUAGCCUUGCAAAAUCUGGAUUUCACAGUGAGAAAAAAAUCAAACAUAACACUUCUCACUCUGAAUCACUUUACCCAAAAGAGGGUUUUGAAUUGAAACCCUCAUUACUGCCAAUAACUGAGUUUACCUAAAUAAUCUCUAGCACUUUGGAAAGAGGGUAAGGCCACUGCUGUUUGGCAGAUUUAAAAAAGGCAGGAGUUGUGUCCUAGAGAAACCUUUUCUUCCCUUGAACUUUUUCAGAAAAGCUUUCCUGCUUUGGGCCCUCAUCUCCAGAGGAAUCCAUUGUGCAAAAUGUAGAAUACGGACCUAUAGAAAUAUUGGCUUAUUAACAUGUAUUUUUCUUUGGCAUUGCCCAUGCAUGCGCUAAAUGCAGACUUUUCAUUUUUGGGAAGGGUAAGGUGAGCUAUUUAAAUUUACUUGAUUUCAGGAAAUAUCCACAGAGACAUCCUAGACCCUCAAGAACCUUGCAUCUGUGUUCAAACAGUUGAAUUUAAACAAACAGUUGUGGAAGCCGGAAGUUCAAAAUCAAGAUGUCAGCAGUGUGUGUCAGUUCCUUCUGGAGUCUCGAGGAAGGAUCCGUUUGCUGCAACUCCUGAAACCUGAAGUCUGUGACUCACCAGUUCUAAGCCCCAGAGUCCUGAUGGGGCACCUCAAGGAGACACUUCAGCCACCUAAGUCAGCUGGACCACCCCAUGACACAGUCAUGGAGGUUCCAGUCUGAAUUCAGAGUCAAUGAUAAGGGAGGCUUCCGUGGCAGAGUGAAAAGCACACACCUGAGAAAUGAAAAGAAAUGGCAAAGGUCACACGUCUCAGGAUGAAUUGCACUGUGUGUGACACCCUAGCUGAAAUCCUAUCCCACAGGACCAUCAGGUCCACGAGAGAAGAGGUGUGCUCAGGAGGGCUGACUGGAAGUCUGAAGACAGCAUGGCAUACAACCAAUGGGUGGAGAGCAGGAGCCAGAGAUGACAUAUGGGAUGAGGCCUUCAUUAAAGUCCAUGGGUAUUAUCCAUCAGGCUUUCCUGUAGGGAUUGUGGAUUGGUCAAUUUAAAGAAAACACUUGUGAACAGGAGUACUUAUCUACAUGAUUCUGACAUUGAUCAUUGAGUUUUAUCAUGGACAGUAGCUGUGGGAUUUUAGGCUAGUGAGAUAGGAAUAAGCAGGCCAUAUUGCAAACAACAACAGGGGCAAGAAAAGUUUUAACUAGUCCAAAGGUGAAGGAAUAUAAACAGGUUUCCAACAGUGGAUACCAGGCCUAAAAAUGGAUGCCAAGGCAACAACUAUAUUAAACAACUUUAUGACACAUACAUUUGUCAUAUAAAUAGUCAGUCCUCUUGUAUGUAGAGAAAAAGAAUAAUGAUUAAUAUGUAACAUGUUCAGAUUUUUGCCUAAUGGAUCUGCUUUUAAGUGAAGAGGUUACAUAUUCUAAUCUGCUCUAUAAGCCACAGUCUCUGUACUUGCUAACUAUUAUUUCACCUUUAUAAUGGCCCUCUGAGGUCAGUUGUAUCGUUUUUUUUUAACAGUUAAGAAAAUGGAAACUGAGGCUGCAAGAUGUAAAGUGAUUCCAAAGAUUAGUGAAAUGCACAACUUUUCCACUAUAUGAGGCUGGCCUAAAGAAUUCCUCAAAAGAUGUGGAGUAGGAGUAGCUUUGCAUUUAUUAUGAAGUCCCACAGGCACAAAGUGCCCUCUAAAGGCAUGAUUUUUUUUUCCUGACAAUUUUUAUUGGGUCAGGACAUAAUAACAUGACAUUUUUAUGGGACUUUCAUCUCAGAAUCCCAAAGCAAUCCCAAAGCACUUAGAACACAUUAUUUAGCUCUCACAACUUAAAAGGUAGGUAGCAAAUUAUUUUGAUAGGAAAUUAACUAUAAUAAGGCUGGCAACAACAGCAUAACAAGUGCUAGUGAAUUGCCUUAAAGGAAUGCAAAGGAUUCAUAUACAUUUCCUAGGUUAGAGGAGAGGCUACUUAUUAAAGGAAAGUGGAGUGGGAACAAGAUUUGAGAAGAUUUAGGAUCUCUUUCCAUGGGUGGAUGUCUUAGAGGUAGCAAUGUUUCUUGUGCUGUGAUUAGUGAGGUUGACUAUUAACUCUCAACAAACAUAUGGUCAUGUCUUCAAAAAUAAUUUUUUUGAAAAUAUAGCUAAAGAGUAGAGUUAUGGACAUCAUUCAGUUCAACAUUUAUUUUACACCACUAUAUAAAGCUUGUGGGAUGGAUAAGAUUUGGCUAUUUUUUAAAACAUUAUUUCUUGUCUACUCCUAUGCAUGGCAUCUGAGUAGAAAAUGCUGAAAUGAGUUUUUCCUAUGCCAAUAUUCCAAGAUAUCUCUUUUCUACUGUAAUGAUAGCAAUAUUUAUUGAAAGGCACAUUUGUCUUUUCACUUCCCUCUUUACUGAAGCCUUGAGAAUAAUUCCCAAAUAGAAUCAUAGCGUUCCAUUAAUCUGAGAAACUCUUAUGAUUACUCUAUUAUAAAGUAGUAACUGGGUUAUCCCCUGAAUAAUUAAGAAUCAUUAACUUAGUCCAGGUCAUUAAAGAUGAUCUGAUGUGGAAGACAGGUGAAUUUACUCAAGUAAAACAGAAACACACAGAGAUAAGUGGCUACCAAAGUUCCCACAGCUAAAUGCUGGUGGAGAUGGGAUUCACCCUUUGAUCUCUGACUCAAAUCUGGUGCUCUUUCUCAUUCAUCCCACUGAUAAAGAAAAAUGGUUUUGAUUUUACUUUCUUUUUGCCAAGGGCUUAUGCAAUUAACUUAUUGUGUACAAUUGAUAGGGACAGGGGGCAGAGAAAUUCUAGGCAGAAAAAGGCAGGUCCCCAGCAAAACCCCACGCUGAAGCUGGAAAGCCUGAAACCAUGGCCCAAAGUGAGAACCUAUGUCUCUGUUUUCCUAUUUGAAUGUUGUCUUUUCCUAAUCCACCCAUGGCUCUCCUCCACCUUAUCCUGUGCCUAUAAAAACCCCAGACUCAGCCAGCAGAUGAGACUAUGGCUGGACAUCAGAGAGAAGCAGCUUGACUUCAGAGGGACAGCUAGACCAUAUAACUUUGGAGAACAAUCUGGCUGGAUAUGGCUGGACUUCAGGGAAAGAUUACCUAUCCACCCCAUGCAUUUUUGAGCUCCCCUUCCCACUGACAGCCACUUUCAUUGGCAAUAAAAUCCCCCUCAUUUACCAUCUUUCAAUUUGUUCACGCAACCUCAUUUUUCUGGAUGCCAGACAAGAGCUCAGGAGCCGCAAGUGCAGAUACAAAAGGCUGUCACACUAGCCCUUUGCCCUUGCUGGCAGGGGGCAGCUGUCUCACGCAAAAAGGCAGAGGACCCAUAAAAAAUGAUGAGUUCAUGUCCUUUGUAGGGACAUAGAUGAAAUUGGAAACCAUCAUUCUCAGUAAACUAUCGCAAGAACAAAAAAACCAAACACCGUAUAUUCUCACUCAUAGGUGGGAAUUGAACAAUGAGAUCACAUGGACACAGGAAGGGG